GCACAAGCGGAGGAACAUGUGGUUUAUCGAUGAUACGCGAGGACCUUACUGGGCUUAAAUGGGGAGUGACAGCUGUCGAAAGAUGGUUUUCUUCGGACACUCUUCAAGGUGCUGCAUGGUUGUCGUCAGCUCGUGCCGUGAGGUGUCGGGUUAAGUCCCAUAACGAGCGCAACCCUUAUCGUUAGUUGCCAUCUGGUAAUGCAGGGGACUCUAGCGAAACUGCCACCGUAAGGUGAGAGGAAGGUGGGAUGACGUCAAAUCAGCACGGCCCUUAUGUCCAGGGCUACACACGUGUUACAAUGGUCGGUACAGAGGGCAGCUACCUGGUGACAGGAUGCUAAUCUCUAAAGCUGGUCUCAGUUCGGAUCGAAGUCUGCAACCCGACUUCGUGAAGCUGGAUUCGCUAGUAAUCGCGCAUCAGCCAUGGCGCGGUGAAUACGUUCCCGGGCCUU
rnacentral:rRNA from 1 species